AGGACUGUCCAACCUGAGAAUGGU
rnacentral:miRNA from 1 species